rnacentral:rRNA from 1 species
GUAGUCUUAGCCAUAAACGAUGUUCACUAGGUGUUGGGGCGUAAGCCUCGGUGCCGCAGCUAACGCAUUAAGUGAACCGCCUGGGGACUACGGCCGCAAGGUUGAAACUCAAAGGAAUUGGCGGGGGCCCGCACAAGCGGUGGAGCAUGUGGCUUAAUUCGAUGCAACGCGAAGAACCUUACCAGGGCUUGACAUGGAUCUGCAAGGUGGUGAAAGCCACUCGCUUUCGAAGGUGAUUCACAGGUGGUGCAUGGCUGUCGUCAGCUCGUGUUGUGAAAUGUUGGGUUAAGUCCCGCAACGAGCGCAACCCUCAUGUUUUGUUACCAGCGGGUAAUGCCGGGAACUCGAAACAAACUGCCUCUGUAAAGAGGA